AAACACAGGGUAACAACUGGGCGUGAGAACUACUGUAAAAAUAAGUAGUCCUCAGUGGGUACCGCCCUCAAAAUCAUCGGCUCACCCACUAAAACUACAGUAGAAAAUAAGGCUAAAAGGUAAAUCCGGAAAGAAAUCCACAGCUACAUGCCACUACACUAUCCCACUGUGUCUGCUAUCAAUUCUGACCCAAUCUCAUUAGGGACUGUGUACGCACCCAUCCCGCCUGUCUAAGCCGCGCUACUUCCACGCUAAACAGUCCGUGGAUAACAACUAAUCAGCGACAGUAACGCGAAAGCACAAAGCCAGACUCCGGAGCGGCACUCGUGGGCGCGACCCAACCGAGUAUGCAAGCGUAUCUCUGUCGAGCUCAAUUAGGCUCUCACAGGCUAAAGUCAAGAAAACAGGUCUAACAGUACUUCCAACCCCUAGUCACGUGCCCUCGGCACCAUCUGAUAUCGGAACGAUCAAAUCCGGGUCCGCCGUCAACCACUACGGCACCCACUAAUCCAGAACACUGUAAACACUACUGUAAAAAUCGGCUCGGCAUCCUACAACGAGCGUAACUGAAAUCUGAACUAUCUGGGAUACUCACUAUGAGGAUACUGCAACAGUAUAAAAAUACAACGGCCCCUAUGGCUAAAUCAGGUAGUUCAACAUAUACCAGGUCCUGAACGCUGGUUUUCUCCUAUGUUUUAUCCAAGUCCCACAUGCAUGAUUAAUAACAACUAAUAACAUGCUCCCAAUUCAGUUUAUAUGUCUAAACAUACCUACUUAUGAAUUUGAGCUAAACAAACAAUAACAACUUGUAAUAUUAACGAUACAUGUCGACCAACAAUACUAUAGGAGUAGGAUUCUGAUGAUAAACCCACCUUGAAUACUAAAUCCACCCCGGCGCGACGUUCAGAACGGCGAAACCACGCCCUCGCCCGGGCUCCUCGCGAUGCUACGACUGCAACCGUAUCCUCGAACGGCUUCGCGGCCCAACGUCGACGUCGAAUCCGGGCUCCGCGGCUACUCCCCCAAGCUCCACCUCGUAUGGUUCUCUACUUCACACUAAAAAGAGAAAGCAAACUUAAUUAGAGUGCCACCCUUAAGCAGAUAAGUGGAUAACCAUGCAUGGGGGAGAGUGCACGUGGCAUCCAUAGCCACCCUCAAUCUUCACCGACUAAGUUCUAUAAUAUAUAUAUAUCAAAAAGGAUACUACAUCCUCCCCCAGUACAAAAAGUUUCGUCCUCGAAACUUAACACAUACCUCAACACGGGGCAUCGAACAGGUUGGGGUAGGACUCCCUCAUCACCGUCUCAGGCUCCCAAGUCGCCUCCCGCUCCUCGUGAUUGCUCCACUGCACUUCCACAUACGGGAUGACCCAGUUGUGCAAUUCUUUCGUCUCACGAGCAAGAAUCCGCACCGGUCGCUCCUCGUAUCUCAGAUCCUCGCCAAUCUCUAGUGGAGUGAAGUCAAUCACGUGAGAAGGAUCGAAAAUAUAUCUUCUCAGAGCCGAGACGUGGAACACAUCAUGGAUAUCAGCAAGUCGGGGUGGUAGAACAAUCCUGUAAGCAACUAGUCCAACUAGCUCCAAUACCUCAAAAGGGCCAACGAAACGUGGACUGAGCUUUCCACGCACUCCAAAUCGGCGAAUCCCUCUGGACGGCGAGCCUUUAAGAAAUAUAUGAUCUCCAACCUGGAACUCCAAGUCUCGUCUCCUAUUAUCGGCGUAGCUCCUUUGGCGGCUCUGGGCUAUCAAAAGGUGUCGUCGAACAACUCUCACAUUUUUCUCAGCCUCUAGCAAAAUCUCAGGCCCAAGUGUCCUCCUCUCACCCACAUCACUCCAAAACAACGGGGAUCGACACCUACGUCCAUACAACGCCUCAAACGGAGCCAUCUGAAUGCUCGUUUGAUAGCUGUUGUUGUACGCAAACUCUGCUAGUCUCAAGUGUCGAUACCACCCUUCUCCAAAAUCCAGGACACAUGCCCCGAGCAUGUCCUCUAUAGUCUGAAUGGUCUGCUCCGACUGACCAUCCGUCUGCGGGUGAAACGCUGUGCUGAAAUAUAACUGAGUCCCCAAAGCUGUCUGUAAACUCCUCCAAAAAUGUGACACAAAUCUCGGGUCCCGGUCUGAUACGAUCGAUACUGGUACACCAUGUAGCCUGGCAAUCUCAUCCAGAUACAACUGCGCGAGUCUCUCUCUGGACCAGGUGGUCUGAACUGGUAGAAAGUGAGCAGACUUAGUCAGUCUGUCAACGAUCACCCAAAUAGCAUCAUAGCCACCCUGUGCUCUAGGGAACCCCACAACAAAAUCCAUCGUGAUCUGCUCCCAUUUCCACUCGGGCACUGACAGACUCUGAAGCUUGCCAGCAGGUACCUGAUGCUCGGCCUUUACUUGUUGACAAGUCAGACACUGAGCCACAAAUCUGCCAAUGUCCCUCUUCAUCCCGUUCCAUCAGAACUGUGCCUUUAAGUCCUUAUACAUCUUGGUUCCACCAGGGUGAACCGUAUAAGGAGAACAAUGAGCCUUUCUCAAAAUAUCCGCUCGGAUCUCUAAAUCCACAGGCACACACAGUCGGUCCCUAUACCACAGUACUCCCAAACUGUCUAAAGCAAAAUCCUCCGCUUGUCCCCUAUCUAACUGCUCUCGAAUCCUCAACAAAUGCGGAUCUCCACUGUAUUUCUCCCGGAUCCUAUCCAACAGAGUGGGCUGCAAGACCAGAGACAUCAGUCUUGCUGUAGACCCAGGGGACACCACCUCAAGCCUCAGCCGCUAUAGCUCCUCAAGUAGCAGUCUCUGCUGAGUGAUCAACAAACUCAAGCUCUGCGCUGCCCUCCUGCUCAAUGCAUCUGCCACUACAUUCGCCCAGCCGGGAUGAUAUUGAAUACUAAUAUCAUAGUCUUUCAGUAACUCCAACCACCGGCGUUGCCUCAGAUUCAAUUCCUUUUGAGUGAACAGAUACUUGAGACUUUUAUGAUCGGUGAAAACCUCGCAGUACUCGCCGUACAAAUAAUGCCGCCACAGCUUCAAAGCAAAGACUACCCCGGCAAGCUCCAAAUCAUGCGUAGGGUAAUUCUUCUCAUAAUCCUUUAACUGCAGUGAAGUAUAAGCAAUUACCCUACCAUGCUGCAUCAGCACACAACCCAGUCCACUGUGCGAUGCAUCACUGUAGAUCACGAAUCCUUCCUCCAUCACAGGGAGAGCAAGGAUAGGAGCUGACAUCAAUCUUUGUCUCAGCUCGUCGAAGCUCCUCUCGCAGUCCUCACACCAAACAAACCGAAUCCCCUUCCGUGUCAACCUGGUAAGGGGUGUGGAAAGCUUUGCAAAGCCCUCCACAAACUGACGGUAAUAUCCGGCUAGUCCAAGAAAACUCCUUACCUCUGUCACCGUCGUCGGUUUGGGCCAAUCCCGAAUAGCAUCAAUCUUCUUCGGGUCUACUACUACUCCCUCUACAGAAAUCAUGUGGCCCAAGAAAGCGACCUCCCACAACCAAAACUCGCACUUCUUUAACUUGGCAUACAGCUUCUUCUCUCGCAGAAACUGUAGCACAAUCCUCAAGUGCUCCUCAUGCUCAGCAUCAUUACGGGAGUAGAUCAGAAUGUCAUCGAUGAAGACUACCACAAAUCUAUCCAAGAACGGCUUGAACACUCUGUUCAUCAAAUCCAUGAAUGUGGUAGGGGCAUUUGACAAUCCAAAAGGCAUCAUGGUAAACUCAUAAUGCCCGUACCGAGUCCGAAAAGCCGUCUUGGGAACAUCCUCGGCCCUCACCCUCAGCUGGUGGUAACCUGACUGGAGAUCAAUCUUCGAGAAGACACAAGAUCUCUGCAGCCGAUCAAGCAAAUCAUCAAUGCGCGGCAAGGGAUACUUGUUCUUGAUUAUCACUUUAUUCAGCCCCCGGUAGUCCACACAUAACCUGAGCGAACCAUCCUUCUUUUUUACAAAUAACACCGGCGCUCCCCAAGGCGAUACACUGGGUCUCAAAUAUCCCUUGUCCAUCAAAUCCUGAAGCUGCGCCUUUAGCUCUCUCAGCUUUGCCGGUUCUAUCCUAUAAGGUACCUUCGAGAUUGGUGUAGUUCCGAGAACCACAUCAAUCACGAACUCAAUUUCCCUCUCCGGCGACAUCAUCGUCAACUCAAGGGGAAACACAUCCGGAAACUCGCGAACUACAGGAAUAUCCUCGAGUCCCGGUGUCGCCGUAGGUACCUCUACUACCGUCGCCAGAAACACGACGCAUCCUUUGCUCAUCAGCUGUCGAGCCCUCGCCAAAGAUAUCCAAGUAGCGAAUAGCGUACUACUGCAGCUCCUAAAAGUAAACUCCUCCUGGCCUGGCUCGCAAAACGUCACUGUCCUCGCUCCACAGUCGAUCGUAGCGUAGUACCGUGCCAGCCAAUCCAUACCGAGCACAGCGUCGAAGUCCUGCAGCUGCCCUAAAACCAACAGGUCUGCGGGCAAGAUCCACGAAUCCAACUGCACUGGACACGACCAACAACACUCUGUAACCCGUAACAUAUGGUCGGAAAUCUGCACCUCUCGUGCCUAUAACAAAGCUCCGAACUCUAGACCAUGCAACAAUGCAAAUGCUCGGCUAACAAAGGAAUGAGAUGCACCGGUAUCGAAAAGAGUACGAGCUCUAAUGCCAGAGAUCAAAACAAUACCUGCCACCACUCGGUCGGCUGCUGAAGAGUCCUCCACCCAGGCUGCAUAUACUCUGCCAUUCGGAGCCUGCUGUCGCCGCUCACCCUGUCGCGGCGCAGAUGCCCUGUCCUCCUGGCGGUAACUCUGAGGUGCUCCAGAAAUCUGCUGAGAUCCGGAUGCUGCUGAAGCGAUCGAUGGUGCUGGUGAUGCUGCUCGGGGGCAAGCAGACCUCAUAUGCCUCGGCUGUCCACAUCCAAAACAUCGGCCCUCACGCUGCUUACACUGCCGGGCCCAGUGCGGUCCUCCACAAAUCACACAUGGUGGUAAUCCCUGUCACUGCCUCUGCUGUCGCGAUCCCCCAGAACGAUGACGCCUCGAGAACCCACGACCCUGAGAACGCGACCGUGGAGGUCUCGGCGGACACCGGCUGCUCGACUGUCCACCCUUAUCUGGAGCUGAGCGCUUCCUGUCCUGACUCUGUCCUGCAGCCUGAGUCCUCUCCCGAAUAGAUACAUCACAUCUCUCAACCCAAAGUGCCUGCUCCAUCGAUGCGUCCACGGUCCUCAACCUCUGCGCCUGAACCAACCGAAAAAUCUCGGGCCUCAAACCCUGCUCGAAAAGGUACACCCUGUGUGCCUCAUCUCUAGCCACAAACGGCACACAGUUCAGGAGUGGCGUGAACUCUCGAAUAUACUCCUGUACUGUCCGGUCCCCCUACUGGAUCUUCUUUAAAUCCUCCUCGAGCUUCUGUUUCAUACUGUUGGGAAAAUACAUCCCAUACAGCAUUCCACAGAACUGGUCGCAUGUCAUCUACAAAGUCACCAAUUGGUAAUCUCUCCUCACUCUCCGCCACCAAGCAAGGGCAUCCCCUGUCAAGCAAUGCACUCCCAGAUGUACCUGCUCCCGCUCAGGAAUGAAAAGAUUCUCAAAUAACUUCUCCAUCGAGCUGACCCAGUCCUCAACAACCCAAGCCUCUAUGCAUCGGCUAUCAAAAGUCGGCGGAUCGAAACGAUGAAAGCGAGCGAGUCUCUCAGCCAUCUGCUCCUGCUCAGCCUCGGCCAUCUGCGAUGCCUCACCAACCGGCGCAACUGGCACUGAACGAACGAACACUGGUGGUGGUACUACUGUAGCUGGUGCUGCCGCUGGAGCAGUCGGAGGUGGAACAAUCUGCUAUGGUAUGGUACUCUGUGGCGGGGUGACCCUCUCACACAACCUCUCCAACAACUUCUCCUGCCGCCUCGUCACCUCUGUCAGAGCGGCCAACUGAGCACUCAAGUCGGGGGAUGCGCUCGCCUCUGGUCGUGUACUCUGCUCCUGCCGGGCACUCGACUCUGCCUGCUCAGGCAUCUCGGAGGGUCCCACACGAUCCUGUGUCAACUGUGCCCGGUCUCGUGUCGACGGUCGAUCUCGACGACGAUACAUAGCUGCAAAAAUAGAACAGGGUCAGAUAACACAAAUACUCUCGAUCCAAUCAACGAAAGUCCGGAAGGCUGCCCCUGUUUCUCCUAAAAAUUAUGUCGUCUGCAGCCAACAUAAUUUUGCAGGCCAGAACAGGCACUCCUCCAAUCACUCACUCCCCUCAGGGUGAGUUACAAUAAUUAAUCAUUGACUUUCGCAAUAAAUCACGCCUCUCCCGUCUUGCUUUCCUAAGGUUUGCCAAACUUAGAUUUCUUAGGUCCCAAUGACCUAAAGCUAAGCUUUGAUACCAACUUAAUCUGUUAGGCCCCGGAUUACACGUUUUCCGGGCACGCCGACAAAUCCGCCAUAUACAAAGAAAUUUUUUCUGUAUACGAAGCGAUUGCUGUCUCUGUAAAAUAUACAAUACUACAAACAGUAGGGUAGAGCUGAAAAGAACUAAGCAGAUAGAACGAACAAAUAUCAUAUACAUACAAACUAACAAGUACAAAAACACUCGCUCCAGCGAGUUCUAGUAUCAGUAUGUACACAAGCUCAAAAUAAAAACACUAUUACCUGCAGCUGGUGAUCCUCUAGCAUGACGUUUCGUCGGGUAGGGCUCUAGCUCGCGACGCCCUUGCCUCGAUCCGCCUCUGAAGACGCAGCAGCCGGAAUAGCAGGCUCUGCAAAACACAGGGUAACAACUGGGCGUGAGAACUACUGUAAAAACAAGUAGUUCUCAGUGAGUACCGCCCUCAAAAUCAUCGACUCACCUACUAAGACUACAGUAGGAAACAAGGCUAAAAAGUAAAUCCGGAAAGAAAUCCACAGCUACAUGCCACUACACUAUCCCACUGUGUCUACUAUCAAUUCUGACCCAAUCUCAUUAGGGACUGUGUACGCACCCGUCCCGCCUGUUUAAGCCGCGCUACCUCCACGCUAAACAGUCCAUGGAUAGCAACUAAUCAGCGACAUCAACGCGAAAGCACAAAGCCAGACUCCGGAGGGGCACUCGUGGGCGCGACCCAACUGAGUAUGCAAGCGUAUCUCUGUCGAGCUCAAUCAGACUCUCACAGGCUAAAGUCAAGAAAACAGGUCUAACAGUACUACCAACCCCUAGUCACGUGCCCUUGGCACCAUCUGAUAUCGAAACGAUCAAAUCCGGGUCCGCCGUCAACCACUACGGCACCCACUAAUCCAGAACACUGUAAACACUACUGUAAAAAUCGGCUCGGCAUCCUAGCACGAGCGUAACUGAAAUCUGAACUACCUGGGAUACUCACUGUGAGGAUACUGCAACAGUAUAAAAAUACAACGACCCCUAAGGCUAAAUCAGGUAGUUCAACAUAUGCCAGG
rnacentral:lncRNA from 1 species